rnacentral:misc_RNA from 1 species
GGUGAAGAACGCAGCGAAAUGCGAUAAGUAGUGUGAAUUGCAGAAUUCAGUGAAUCAUCGAAUCUUUGAACGCACAUUGCGCCCCUUGGUAUCCCGAGGGGCAUGCCUGUUCGAGCGUCAUUUCACCACUCAAGCCUGGCUUGGUGUUGGGCGACGUCCUCUUUGGGGACGCGCCUCGAAACGCUCGGCGGCGUGGCACCGGCUUUAAGCGUAGCAGAAUCUUUCGCUUUGGAAGUCGGGGCCCCGUCUGCCGGAAGACCUGCUCGCAAGGUUGACCUCGGAUCAGGCAGGGAUACCCGCUGAACUUAAGCAUAUCAAUAAGCGGAGGA